rnacentral:SRP_RNA from 1 species
UCGUGCUAGACGGGGAGCUGGCGGUGCCCUGUAACCCGCAAUCCGCCAUAGCGGGGUCGAACUCCCUUCCGAGGGUCGUUUCACUCGAUACUGUCGUGAGUUGACGGCGUUGAAGACCGGGUCCUGCGCGGCAAGAGCCCCCGAACCCCGCCAGGUCCGGGAGGAAGCAACGGUAAGGGGCCCCUCUUGGGCGCCGCAGGGGCGCCUGGUCGGAGCCGGUCGCCCACGACAAGGCGGGUGAGACGAUUCGGAGAAGGGUGCACGA